AACGCGAAGAACCUUACCAGGGUUUGACAUCUCGGGAAUCUUUGCGAAAGCAAAGAGUGCCUUUUGGAACCCGAUGACAGGUGUUGCAUGGCCGUCGUCAGCUCGUGUCGUGAGAUGUUUGGUUAAGUCCAUCAACGAGCGCAACCCUUAUGGUCUGUUGUAUUUCUCAGGCCAGACUGCCCCGGUAACGGGGAGGAAGGAGGGGAUGAUGUCAGGUCUGUAUUACCCUUACACCCUGGGCUACAAACACGCUACAAUGGCCGGUACAAAGGGCAGCUAAGUCGCGAGGCGGAGCAAAUCCCAUCAAAGCCGGUCCCAGUUCGGAUUGCAGGCUGAAACCCGCCUGCAUGAAGCCGGAAUCGCUAGUAAUGGUAGGUCAGCACACUACCGUGAAUACGUUCCCGGGCCUUGUACACACCGUACGUC
rnacentral:rRNA from 1 species